UACGUAGGGGGCAAGCGUUGUCCGGAUUUAUUGGGCGUAAAGAGCGUGUAGGCGGUCUGGUAGGUCCGUUGUGAAAACUCGAGGCUCAACCUCGAGACGCCGAUGGAAACCAUCAGACUAGGGUCCGGAAGAGGAGAGUGGAAUUCCUGGUGUAGCGGUGAAAUGCGCAGAUAUCAGGAAGAACACCCGUGGCUAAGGCGGCUCUCUAGUACGGUACUGACGCUGAGACGCGAAAGCGUGGGGAGCGAACAGG
rnacentral:rRNA from 1 species